AUGCGCGCAAGCGUGACGAGGGGACUCCGAGUGGUGGACCACGCGUUCACCUUUUCUCCUGGCCAAACACCUGGGGGAAUAAGGUCUGGGCAAGAUCGGUGCCAGCCGCCGCGGUAACACCGACAGAUCAAGUGGUACCCACGAAUAUUGGGCCUUAAGAGUCCGUAGCUGGCCCGUUAAGUUCCCUGUGAAAUACUCCGGCUUAACCGGAGUGCGUGCAGGGGGUACUGACGGGCUUGGGAGUGGGGGAGGCCGGGAGUACUUGCGGGGUAGGGGUAAAAUCCUGUAAUCCCGCAAGGACUACCAGUGGCGAAGGCGCCCGGCUAAAACACGUCCGACAGUGAGGGACGAAGGCUAGGAGAACGAAUCGGAUUAGAUACCCGAGUAGCCCUAGCAGUAAAUUAUGCAGACUGAGGUGUUGCAACGGCUUUGGGCCGUUGCAGUGCCGUAGCGUAGUGUUAAGUCUGCCGCCUGGGGAGUACGGCCGCAAGGUUGAAACUUAAAGGAAUUGGCGGGGG
rnacentral:rRNA from 1 species